rnacentral:lncRNA from 1 species
GGGCCUCCCGCACGACGGCGGUGGAGGUGGUUCCCUCCCGCUCGGCGUCGAUGUUGCUGCUCCCGUCGUGGUGAGCUUCUCUCCGGUCCUCUUGGCCUCGUGGUGGUGUUCGUAGCGAGGCGGCGUGGGUGGCGGCGUUACUGCGUUGGCGCAUGGUGAUGGGCGACGGUUUUGGCGGGUCGGUUCUGUUCGGUUGGGCGGUUGGGGUUGGAAUGCGGGAGAAAUCCCUGCCGGCUUUGGCCCCGACGCGGUGACACCUGCGGGUGCCACCAUUCCUCCCUGGAGGGUGUCGGUGGUAUCCACCCCCCACCUACCUCCGCGUGCCCGGGGAAACCUGAGGACUCGUCCGGGCAGCAGCGUCGUCGGCGUCGCAUCCCUUCUUGGAGGUGCUGCUUGGUACGCGGCGGAUCGGAGCCUCGGUUGGUGGUGUUUUGUUUCCGGUGGGCGCCGCGGUGGCGGGUCAUCCGCGCUUUGCCAAGCUGCCGUGGUUGGCAUUUGUUUCUUCUUCUUUUUCUUUUGAUGUGUUGUGCUGCUCGCCACAGCGUUAUCUGUACUCGGUGUUGGUUGCUUUGAAAUACAAAGCGGGGAAACCCUUUUUCGGUAGUUUAUCUUGAUUUAUACUGCUCUGUGUUAAUCGGAGAUGCUAUUUUAACGUAUUUGGUGCAAAAUUAAAAUUUUCCCUAAUGAAUAGGCAUAUGGCCUGGCUAAAUUACUGACUAGGUGUUUGUGCAAAUGCAGGUCCACGAUGCUGAUCACUUGACCAUUUCCCCCUGCUGCACGAGCUGUGAGGAGGGCAAAAUGUCGAGGGAGGAGGGCAAGAUGUCGAGGGUGAUGGUGCCGCUGACAAUGAAAACCUACUCUCUGAGAAUCUCCUCCGCCUCCUCCAGCAGCCGUCCUCACUCCCCCGUGUCUCCCUCGUCUGCAAACGCCAGCGUCGCAUCGUAUCCAAGAUCCGCUUUUUAUGCCGCUUUCACUCACACCACCGCUGCAGCGCUCCCCUCUUCAGUUGUUUCGUCAGCGACCUGCGAGGCUGCUUCUCCUACACACAUACCAUGGAGGCCCCAGCUCGUGUCCCCGCCGGGCGCGGUCAUGGGUCCUGGAUCCACGAAGUGAUCACUUGGUUGGUUCCAGUGGACAACCAAAAGGUUCCCGGGAAUUGCCGAGGAGAUUCACUUAAUGAACCGCUUUCAGCAGAACCACUGGAGUUUUACACUGUCGUGUCACAACGCGCCCUGAAUCGCUUGCUAGUAGCCUGAGUUGUGAUUUCGUGGAGUGCCUGACGCUUGAAGUUUUCCUUGUGUUUAUGUAAUUAUUAUGAUCUGGAAAACAAAUUCCUUGCGGUGUCUGGUUUAGUUUAGUUUAUGUCACAAGUUCUACUUCUGCAGCAAAGAUUGACAAAUUCUUUGUAUAAUAAUUGAACCAAAUUGUCUGUGUUGUUUGCAGUCUAAUUUCUUCAGUUUGGCCAAAGGAGACUUUAUACUGAACACAUGGGCGAAGUUAUAAGACUAGAUUUUAUCCUAAAAAUUGCUUUCAUCAGGAAUUAUGAUUUUUUUUUAGUAACAUAGUAUGACUGAAGCUUUCAUCACGAAUAUAUAAGCUCAGUGUUGUUUUGAUAUCAUGCAGUGUAAAAGAAGUGCAAUAUAUUUUG